GACGAACGCUGGCGGCGUGCCUAACACAUGCAAGUCGAGCGGAGAUCAUGGAGAGCUUGCUCAAAGUGAUUUUAGCGGCGGACGGGUGAGUAACGCGUGAGCAAUCUGUCCUACACAGGGGGAUAACAGCUGGAGACAGCUGCUAAUACCGCAUAAGACCACAGCGUCGCAUGACAAAGGGGUCAAAGAAUUAUCGGUGUAGGGUGAGCUCGCGUCCCAUUAGAUAGUUGGCGGGGUAACGGCCCACCAAGUCGACGAUGGGUAGCCGACCUGAGAGGGUGAUCGGCCACACUGGGACUGAGACACGGCCCAGACUCCUACGGGAGGCAGCAGUGGGGAAUAUUGGGCAAUGGGCGCAAGCCUUACCCAGCAACGCCGCGUGAGGGAAGAAGGUUUUCGGAUUGUAAACUUCUUUUAAGAGGGACGAUAAUGACGGUACCUCUUGAAUAAGCCACGGCUAACUACGUG
rnacentral:rRNA from 1 species